rnacentral:rRNA from 1 species
UACGUAGGUGGCGAGCGUUAUUCGGAUUUAUUGGGCGUAAAGGGUUCGUAGGGGGUUGCUUAAGUUCAGUGUGAACGCCUGCGGCUCAACUGCAGAACGUCACUGGAUACUGGGCGACUAGAGGAUCGGAGAGGAGAGUGGAAUUCCUGGUGUAGCGGUGGAAUGCGUAGAUAUCAGGAGGAACACCGAUGGCGAAGGCAGCUCUCUGGACGAUACCUGACGCUGAGGAACGAAAGCCGGGGGAGCAAACAGG